rnacentral:lncRNA from 1 species
UUACCUUGCAUUGUUAUUUUUCAGUUUAACUCUCUCUCUCUCAUCUGAUUAGCUACUUUUGUGGUUGAUAUAACUACACCAGAGAUUUCAAUGACAUCUUUUCCUCGAAUAUAAAUUUCACAUUCCUCUUCCUCGCCGCUUACUUCUACGGUGAAAUUAUAUGACAGCAGAUCCACCCUUCCUCGUCCUCGUCAUAUCCUUGAAGAUAAAUUUCACGCCCCUCAUCCUCAUCCUCGGAGCUUUCCCUCUUUCUCUAACUAAAUUUCACAAAUCCUUCAUUCCUCGUCCUCAUCAUUUCUAUAGCAAAAUUUAAUGGCUGCAGAUUUCAAUAUUCAUUGUCCUCGUAUUCUUUUCUGGUGAUACACUGAAGACAAAUAUCAGACGUUUCAGUUUGUAUACAAUGUGUAUUUAUAUAUAUAUAUAAUCUGAAUUUGUAUUAAUUUUUACUUAUAUAUCUGUACCAUGAAUAAAUUCUCUUGAUUAUAUCAAUGAAUUUUUAUUAAUAUAAUUUUGUUUAAUUGCAUCAUUGAAUUUCUAUCAAUGUAUGAAUUUUUUUUAUUGUG